UCAAAACAAGCACCAGACUUUCUUACAAGGGCUCGCGUUCCUCUAUAACAACUUGCACCUUUGUGGAGACAGUCAGGAGGCAUUGUACAACAUUGCUCGGGCGUACCAUCAUGUUGGCCUUGUUUCCUUGGCUGCUCAAUACUACGAGAAGGCACUGGCUACCCGCGAAAAGGAUUAUCCCAUUCCAACGCUCCCAUAUGAAAAUCAAAAUGCAACCAAGAUCAAAUUGCCAGGCUAUUGUGAUCUUGCGUCGAAGCAGCUUACAAUCUUCACCUGAUAUAUAAGCAAAGUGGGGCAUUUGAUCUUGCUAGACAGGUCUUGAAAGAUCAUCUUGUGUUAUGAUAUAUUCACACAUGUAUAGUUUAAUUUCGUAUA